GUGCUCACUCUGGCAGCACAUAUACCAAAGGGACACAGAGAAAAUUAGCAUGGCCCCCAUGCAAGGGGGAUAUGCAAAUUUGUGAAGCAUUUCACUUUGAA
ensembl:snRNA Gm22965 predicted gene, 22965